rnacentral:rRNA from 1 species
UGGGGAAUAUUGCACAAUGGAGGAAACUCUGAUGCAGCGACGCCGCGUGAGCGAAGAAGUAUUUCGGUAUGUAAAGCUCUAUCAGCAGGGAAGAAAAUGACGGUACCUGACUAAGAAGCCCCGGCUAACUACGUGCC